rnacentral:lncRNA from 1 species
GUGAAACUUCAUUAGGCUUGGGAGUCACCUGGAAUUUAUAACUCUGCCAAGUCCCGAGGAAUUGUAGAUAAGCUAGAUAUGUUCCUUCCUUGGCUUAGUUUGCAGAACAUUUGGGUGUUUCUUUUCCAGUUUCGUACGUUGUGUGCUUGACUCGCGCUCUCUUUCACACUCAUGCGGUUAGAAGAAAAUAAUUGUAGAAAGGGGACCCAAAAAAAGUCCCUGGAAGAGAAGAAGAGGGAGAAAAAUAACCAAAAUAGGGACGGAGAAGCCCUAGUCUGCCGGUUUCAAGGAACACGCACAAACCCUCCUUUGAAAAUAUUCCCAAAUUAAACACGCCACUUGGAGAACCGGCGCGUAGCCAUGUUCCUGAAGAUCCUUCGGUUGUGCUCCUCCAGAGUCCCCACCAGGGUAGAUGAGGCGGCCGCUAAGGCUUCAAUUCUUUUAGCUUCCUUUGGAAGACCGAGGAGACACUACAACAAAACAUGCCUGUAGAGUCCUUUUUUUUAACACGCCAAUGUAUUUCGUCUCAACACCAAAUGAUGAACGCUAAGUAAAGACGUUUUUUGAAACGCUUUACACAUCGUCACAAUAAUCUCUUUAAAUUAGGAAUUGAUUAAAAAAAUACAUUUACGUUUAACAUAGAGACGAUAUUUGAGACGCUAUAUAGUAGUUGAUGAACUCAGAGAUGGGCGUAGCCGUUGGUGUGGACUAUAUAUCUGGCUCCAACCCUUGAAUCAGCCACCACAGCUCUUGCGUGAAGCUACUGUCGUUCCAAAGGUGGAGAAUCAUGUUGGUAUGGACACCGCAGAGUUGACAGAUCAGGUUGUGGAGUCAUCCCCGGAUUGCAAGGUUAUUGGCUCUGAGGAUUUUGUUGUGAGCCACCGUACGUCCAAGCGAAAGCUUGGUAAAACUUUUAAGAAUCAAGAUUUUCGUGUGACCAUCAUUGUAUAUAUUUUUUCUAUGAAAUCCAAGAGAGGGAUUAUCAUUUUGUCAACGCUUAACUGUUUCCAACUUCAUAAAAAAAUAAAAAGAAAAAGAAAACCCAUAAAUGGAAGGAAGCGGAGACUAGGGACGGACGGCUCAGGACAACCUUCCACAUGAGACGGACGGCCGAGGAAGCAGGACAGAGCGUCUAAAAGCCUAUAAAUUAAGCCUCCAACCCUAGCCUCGCCCUCCCCCCAAAACCCUAGCCUCCGCAUCUCCGCGGCCGCCGCAAUCGCCAUCGGCCCGCGCGACCCUAGCUAUUCCUCGCCGCCCAACGAAGACAUAUACAGCCGUCGGCCGUCUCCCUCCUCCUCCCCCCCUCUCGCCGCCCAC